rnacentral:rRNA from 1 species
ACUCCUACGGGAGGCAGCAGUGGGAAUAUUGCACAAUGGGGGAAACCCUGAUGCAGCCAUGCCGCGUGUGUGAAGAAGGCCUUCGGGUUGUAAAGCACUUUCAGUAGGGAGGAAGGUAGUGUAGUUAACACCUGCACUAUUUGACGUUACCUACAGAAGAAGCACCGGCUAACUCCGUGCCAGCAGCCGCGGUAAUACGGGGGUGCAAGCGUUAAUCGGAAUUACUGGGCGUAAAGCGUGCGCAGGCGGUCUGUUAAGCGAGAUGUGAAAGCCCCGGGCUCAAGCCUGGGAACUGGCAUUUCGAACUGGCAGUACUAGAGUCUUGUAGGAGGGGGGU